rnacentral:rRNA from 1 species
UACAGAGGGUGCGAGCGUUGUUCGGAAUUAUUGGGCGUAAAGGGCGCGUAGGCGGUGCCACAAGUCACUUGUGAAAUCUCCGGGCUUAACUCGGAGCCUGCAGGCGAAACUGUGGUGCUGGAGUGUGGGAGAGGUGCGUGGAAUUCCCGGUGUAGCGGUGAAAUGCGUAGAUAUCAAGAGGAACACCUGAGGUGAAGACGGGUUGCUGGGCUGACACUGACGCUGAGGCGCGAAAGCUAGGGUAGCAAACGGG